rnacentral:rRNA from 1 species
UACGUAGGUGGCAAGCGUUGUCCGGAAUUAUUGGGCGUAAAGCGCGCGCAGGCGGUCCUUUAAGUCUGAUGUGAAAGCCCACGGCUCAACCGUGGAGGGUCAUUGGAAACUGGGGGACUUGAGUGCAGAAGAGGAGAGUGGAAUUCCACGUGUAGCGGUGAAAUGCGCAGAGAUGUGGAGGAACACCAGUGGCGAAGGCGACUCUCUGGUCUGUAACUGACGCUGAGGCGCGAAAGCGUGGGGAGCAAACAGG